rnacentral:rRNA from 1 species
AAUAUUGGACAAUGGGGGCAACCCUGAUCCAGCCAUGCCGCGUGUGUGAAGAAGGUCUUCGUAUUGUAAAGCACUUUAAGUUGGGGAGAAGGGUUGUAGGUUAAUACCCUGAAGUUUUGUCGUUACCAAUAGAAUACGCACCGGCUAACUCUGUGCCAGCAGCCGCGGUAAUACAGAGGGUGCAAGCGUUAAUCGGAAUUACUGGGCGUAAAGCGCGCGUAGGUAGUUCAGUAAGAUGGGUGUGAAAUCCCCGGGCUUAACCUGGGAACUGCUUUCAUAACUGCUGAGCUAGAGUACGGUAGAGGGUAGUGGAAUUUCCUGUGUAGCGGUGAAAUGCGUAGAUAUAGGAAGGAACACCAGUGGCGAAGGCGACUACCUGGACUGAUACUGACACUGAGGUGCGAAAGCGUGGGGAGCAAAC